rnacentral:lncRNA from 1 species
UUUCUAACAUUUCUCAAAACAUCAAAAUAAAACUAGCAUGCUCAUCAACCAUACGGUUCUCAUGCUUCUCUCUAUCUAACAUUCCUCAAAACUUCAAACUUAAUCUAUCAUGCUCAACUUCCAUCUUAGAACACAACAACAUACAAACAUUCUUCAUGCAACGCUCAUAACUCACGACACAAAACAGCCAUGCACGUACAUAACUCACGACUAUCAUGCUUGGAAAAUACAAAUUUAACAUACAACAAACCUAGCAUGCUCCUAUGCACAUAUAUCAAGUCAC